rnacentral:misc_RNA from 1 species
AAGUCGUAACAAGGUCUCCGUAGGUGAACCUGCGGAGGGAUCAUUACAGAGUUCCUGCCCUUCUGGGUAGAUCUCCCACCCUAUGUCUACAUACCUUUGUUGCUUUGGCAGGCCCGUUCAGCCCUGUGCUGAACCACUGGCUCCGGCUGGUCCGCGUCUGCCAGAGGACCCCAAACUCUGUUUGUUAGUGAUGUCUGAGUACUAUAUAUAGCUAAAA